GGGGGUAUAGCUCAGCGGUAGAGCGCGUGCUUAGCAUGCACGCGGUCCUGGGUUCAAUCCCCAAUACCUCCA
rfam:Homo sapiens chromosome 6 genomic contig, GRCh38 reference assembly alternate locus group ALT_REF_LOCI_2.